rnacentral:rRNA from 1 species
AUGCAGGUCUUUUCCCGCCGGCCGAAGUUCACGGAGCUCACCGCGCACAAUCUCAAGAUCCUGUCCGACGCGCUCGAACUGCGAGUUCCCUGGCACGGGAACAUCGUUCCCGGAAUAUCGAGCACGGUGCUCCAGUGCCGAUCCGGCGUGACGAGGAGGAGGGCGGGGGACAAGCCGUCUAAUUCGUUGUCGUCGUCGAUGACGACCUGGCUGCUCUUCCGUGGAAGGGACGGUGUCGGCAAGACGGCAGUUGCUCGGGAGCUCGCGAGGCUCGUGUUUGGCUCAUACGCCGACUUCACUGCCCUGCAGGGUUACCCUGACAUUCCCGCGCGAAAUGGCAAACUCGCACUCAAGAGGCUGAGAUCACCGGAAAACGAUGGCGACGGCAAUGCAAAGUUGUUCGAAGCGAUCGCGGAGAACCCUCACCGCGUCAUAUUGAUCAACGGCGUCGACCAACUGGGUCGCGAUUCAGAAACGUGCAUAAAGAACGCGAUGGCGGGCGGAACACUGAUGGGGGGAUGCAACGGCGACGUGGUCGGUUUGGAGGAUGCCAUCGUAGUGCUGAGCUAUGAAGAGUUGGACCCGAGGUCUGUGGUUUGCGCUUCCUCCCAACGGGCGAAGCGACCGUUUAGCAGGCAGAACCGCGAGGAAGGUGACACCGCGAAAAUGGAAGUGAGAUCCCGUCGUCGUCUUAGAUGGGACUUGAACGUUUGUGCAGUUGAUGGGGAAGAGGAGGAAGACAGUGUUGCAGAUGACGAGGGGAUCCUGAAUGCGGUGGAUGGUGUUUUCCUUUUCAAUUAG